rnacentral:lncRNA from 1 species
CAUCUGUUAUCCUCUGCGAUACACAGUCAUCAUGAACCCAAGGAUCUGUGUGGCCCUGGCUGUGGGCACAUGGCUGUUAGGGUGCAUUCAUUCCAGUAUCUUGACCUCCCUCACCUUCACCUUGCCAUACUGUGGUCCCAAUGAAGUGGAUCACUUCUUCUGUGACAUUCCAGCACUGUUGCCCUUGGCCUGUGCUGACACAUCCUUAGCCCAGAGGGUGAGCUUCACCAACGUUGGCCUCAUAUCUCUUGUCUGCUUUCUGCUAAUUCUUUUAUCCUACACUAGAAUCACAAUAUCUAUCUUAAGCAUUCGUACAACUGAGGGCCGUCGCCGUGCCUUCUCC